GGGCUCACUUUUGUGGCACAUAGACUAAAAGUAGAAUAAUACAGAGAAGAGUAACAUGGCUCCUGCUCAAAGAUGACAUUCAAAUUCCUGAAAUGGUCCAUAUUUUU
ensembl:snRNA U6 U6 spliceosomal RNA